UUUUUUUUUUUGAGACAGAGUCUCACACUGUUGCCUGGGCUGGAAUGCAAUGGCGCAGUCUCAGCUCACUGCAAACCUCCGGCUCCCGGGUUCAGGCAGUUCUCCUGCCUCAGCCUCCCUAGUAGCUGGGAUUAUAGGCAUGUGCCACCACACCCGGCUAAUUUUUGUAUUUUUAGUAGAGACAGGGUUUCGCCAUGUUGGUCAGGCUGGUCUUGAACUCCCAACCUCAGGUGAUCCGCCCGCCUCGGCCUCCCAAAGUGCUGGGAUUACAGGCGUGAGCCACUGCGCCCAACCUUAAUGGCUUUUUGGUAUUAAAAACCAGGACUCUGAAUGUGCAUCAAUAAUUCAAAUAAUUUUAUAUAGUUACUCUUUCUAGUAAUAGAUACCCCCCUCCAUUUUUAAGUAAAGAUAAACAUUUUUUAAUUAGGAAAAUUAGGCACAUUUAAUUUUAGCAAAUUUAGUUUUUCAACUUUUUUUUUUUUCUUUUUUUUUUUUUUUGAGAUGGAGGCUCACUCUGUUGCCCUGGCUGGAGUGCAGUGGCCGCAACCUCGGCUCACUGCAACCUCCGCCUCCUGGGUUCAAGUGAUUCUCCUGCCUCAGCCUCCCGAGUAGCUGGGAUUACAGGCGUGUGCCACCACACCUGGCUAAUUUUUGUAUUUUUAGUAGAGACGGGGUUUCACCAUGUUGGCCAGGCUGGUCUUGAACGACUGGCCUCAGGUGAUCCGCCCACCUCGGCCUCUCAAAGUGCUGGGAUUACAGGCAUGAUGAGCCACUGCACCUGGCCAAAAGUGGCAGAAAUUUUGAUAUGGUUUAUAAUCAGUUUUAUUGUGGGGAAGAUGGGCCAUUUUAAUGAAUGAUUAUUUCUAUUGGCUAAACUACCGAGUCACGACAUGACAAAUACACAUGAAGCUUUAAUCACAUGCAGUUAUAUACUUCUCACAAAUCAUCAAAUUAUUUAUCUGGUCUUCACACUAAGGGAUUUACUUAGAUAAGCCAUCGAUGAUUUCAGUUGUUAAAAGUGUGGCUUUUUAAACAGCAUUUAUUCAGUGCAUCCUGAUUUAUUUCAAAAUGAAAAAUUGUUACCUUUUUUUCUGAAUAAAUAAAGCUUACUUUUAGUGGCAAGGUAUAAGU
rnacentral:lncRNA from 10 species